AAGAUGGUACUUCUAGGGAUCAUUUCUAUAGUUGAUAACUAGAGAAGUGUGCCUGAAAGUGAUUGGACUUGCUAGCCACAAUGAGGAGUCAUAGUGUUCUUUCCUGAGCAUGAAGUGAGUUGGUAGUGCUGUCUGCAUGCAGUUGCUACCUUUCUCUUGAUGAUUGCUCCACUUCCAUUGAGGAGCUGGAGGGAAAGGACACAUACUGAGUGGU
rfam:Alligator mississippiensis ScZkoYb_19, whole genome shotgun sequence.